rfam:Lachancea fermentati genome assembly, chromosome: D
CUCUCGGUAGCCAAGUUGGUUUAAGGCGCAAGACUGUAAUUUCAAAAGUAAUCUUGAGAUCGGGCGUUCGAAUCGCCCCCGGGAGA